rnacentral:rRNA from 1 species
AUUGAACGCUGGCGGCAUGCCUAACACAUGCAAGUCGAACGGCAGCACAGUGGUAGCAAUACCAUGGGUGGCGAGUGGCGGACGGGUGAGUAAUGCAUCGGGACCUACCCAGACGUGGGGGAUAACGUAGGGAAACUUACGCUAAUACCGCAUACGUCCUACGGGAGAAAGCGGGGGAUCUUUUAGACCUCGCGCGGUUGGAUGGACCGAUGUGCGAUUAGCUAGUUGGCGGGGUAAUGGCCCACCAAGGCGACGAUCGCUAGCUGGUCUGAGAGGA